rnacentral:siRNA from 1 species
GGGCCUUUUCGUGAUCUUUGCUA